CACACACACACACACACACUGAAGCAUUAAAAAACUUUAUGGUUAUUAUCAAUUAAUGUUUGAUAUAUGAUGUGCAAAGGUUUCUCAAAAAAAAAAAAGGUCUGAAUAGAAAAGUUGUAGAAACCUCAGUGUAGCAGACACUAAACCCCUUUGUGGCUGGACACCUUGUUGUUGACUUGGUUCUGACCUUGUAGUGCAAACGCAACCACCGAUAAUUGCUGAGCUCAUCAAUGAAUGUGCUCGAAUAAUGCUCCACUAACAUGGGAGUGUGAAUUCCACGUAAAUGCUCCACUAACACGGGAGUGUGAAUUCCACGUAAUUUUUGCAUGUCACCAAAGAGUAUUGUUUUAUCGGAAAAUGUCUAGCUAUUUAAAAUUCAAAAAGCCAUUACUAUCUCUGAGACCAUUCAAAAGUAUGGGGUGGAUUGGAUUUGGCUUGUGGGUCGAGGUUUGUGGACUCUUGGUUGAAACUGGUGCUUUCUAAUUUUACUGGGUAUGUACAACGCCGACAGUCCUGUUAAGAUGUCAUCAGCCUGGUGUGGUGGCACGAAUCUGUCAUCCUCCCACUGGGGAAGCUGAAGCAAGAUUGUGAGUUCCGGCCAGCCUGGGCUACAUAGUAAGAUCCUGCAUGCAACCCCUGAAAAGAGCAACCAAAUCAAUAAAGAUGCAGGCUAACUCGGGGUAUGGAAUAGAAAGCAGAGAGCUUGCAUCCUCCCCACCCUCGCUCACUCCCAGAGACAUUUCACUCCGUUUAGCAGACUAGCUCCCGGCAGUCUGAGUGGGAAAGUGCUGCCGUAAAGAAGCCCUGAAAGGUAGGUUAAUGACACAAGAAGAUGCUCGGAAAGCCAGGCACGGGGGAAAAGCAAGCUUGCAAGCUAAGUAAACUCUCUUCCCAGCAAUGGGAGUCUGGGCCUGUUCCUUAACCCUUUUCAGUUUCUGUCUAUUCAGCUGUAAGACAAGAUAAGGAUCUCUGCCUCAGGUAUGUGGUAUUGGAACUUAACUCAGUUACGGGAGCCUGAGCAGGCGCUCAGCCUUCGCUCCCACUUGGAAAUUAAAAGGUGAGACAUGAACCCUUGUAUGACAGAUUAAGGUGAACUUUAAUGUUGAGUGUGUCAGGGAAUUUCCCUCCUCCGUUCUUAGAUCCCAUUUGCCAGGGUCGUGGCCAGUCAUUCAUUCAGGAAAUAUUUGCUGAGUUCUCUGCUUCUGUCAGUGUGGGCAGCAGCACCCCAGGCGUUGGUUAAAAGCUGCCUUCUACAGUCCUGUGGAACUCUGUCAGAAGGCGGAACAGUGCUAAGGAGAUCGAUUGCAUGGUGAUUUCUCAGGGACACCUUGGCACGGGCCUGCCAGGUACUCCCUCGCCGCCUUCUAUUUCAAAGCAGAAGGCAUACCUCAUCUGUGCCCUCCUCCUGGCAUACUGAGCCCACUCUCUGGUCUGUAUAUUUCUUCUUUCUCAAUUGUGUU
rnacentral:sRNA from 1 species